ACGGAAUCUACUAAAUUAUGAAGCCAAAAAUCACAUUUCUCCAACCAAUGAUCAGAGUCUGUCUGUCCCUAUGCGGUAAUUACCAUCUCUUCCAUCGCUACAAGCUACAUCAGUAAAUGUGUUCAUCAAUGAUGGGCCUUGGCUUCAGCUUUCGCAUGUGACUUGGCCUUUACCUUCAGAACCUUGAGCUUAAUGCUUCCGUAAACCAAACCAAAGGUGAAUGCUGAUGCACGGGCUACCAGAGCGAGGGAGCUGGUGCCGGAGUAAGGGCCAG
rnacentral:misc_RNA from 1 species